rnacentral:rRNA from 1 species
CUACCGAUUGAAUGGCUCAGUGAGGCGUCCGGACUGGCCCAGAGAGGUGGGCAACUACCACUCAGGGCCGGAAAGCUCUCCAAACUCGGUCAUUUAGAGGAAGUAAAAGUCGUAACAAGGUCUCCGUUGGUGAACCAGCGGAGGGAUCAUUACCGAGUUUACAACUCCCAAACCCCUGUGAACAUACCACUUGUUGCCUCGGCGGAUCAGCCCGCUCCCGGUAAAACGGGACGGCCCGCCAGAGGACCCCUAAACUCUGUUUCUAUAUGUAACUUCUGAGUAAAACCAUAAAUAAAUCAAAACUUUCAACAACGGAUCUCUUGGUUCUGGCAUCGAUGAAGAACGCAGCAAAAUGCGAUAAGUAAUGUGAAUUGCAGAAUUCAGUGAAUCAUCGAAUCUUUGAACGCACAUUGCGCCCGCCAGUAUUCUGGCGGGCAUGCCUGUUCGAGCGUCAUUUCAACCCUCAAGCACAGCUUGGUGUUGGGACUCGCGUUAAUUCGCGUUCCCCAAAUUGAUUGGCGGUCACGUCGAGCUUCCAUAGCGUAGUAGUAAAACCCUCGUUACUGGUAAUCGUCGCGGCCACGCCGUUAAACCCCAACUUCUGAAUGUUGACCUCGGAUCAGGUAGGAAUACCCGCUGAACUUAAG